UACGUAGGGUGCGAGCGUUAAUCGGAAUUACUGGGCGUAAAGCGUGCGCAGGCGGUCUGUUAAGACCGAUGUGAAAUCCCCGGGCUCAACCUGGGAACUGCAUUUGUGACUGCACGGCUGGAGUGCGGCAGAGGGGGAUGGAAUUCCGCGUGUAGCAGUGAAAUGCGUAGAUAUGCGGAGGAACACCGAUGGCGAAGGCAAUCCCCUGGGCCUGCACUGACGCUCAUGCACGAAAGCGUGGGGAGCAAACAGG
rnacentral:rRNA from 1 species